UAUUGCGCAAUGGGCGAAAGCCUGACGCAGCGACGCCGCGUGAGGGAUGAAGGUCUUCGGAUCGUAAACCUCUGUCAGCAGGGAAGAACGGUCACUGUGCUAAUCAGCAGUGAAUUGACGGUACCUGCAAAGGAAGCACCGGCUAACUCCGUGCAAGAAGCAGCGGUAAUACGGAGGGCGCGAGCGUUAAUCGGAAUUACUGGGCGUCAAGCGCGCGUAGGCUGUUGUGUAAGUUGGGGGUGAAAUCCCACGGCUCAACCGUGGAACAGCCCUUGAUACUGCGCGACUUGAAUCCGGGAGAGGGUGGCGGAAUUCCAGGUGUAGGAGUGAAAUCCGUAGAUAUCUGGAGGAACAUCAGUGGCGAAGGCGGCCACCUGGACCGGUAUUGACGCUGAGGCGCGAAAGCGUGGGGAGCAAACAGGA
rnacentral:rRNA from 1 species